rnacentral:tRNA from 3 species
GCCGGUGUAGCUCAAUGGCAGAGCGCUUGCUUCCCAAGCAAGAUACGCGGGUUCGAUUCCCGUCACCGGCU